rnacentral:lncRNA from 1 species
GGUAGCAAGCUUGAAUUAUAUUUGUGAUCAAACUACUUCUGAGUGGGAGGAACUAUUUUUUCCAAAUGCAUUUCCGAUAUUCAUAUCAAUUGAUGUCAUACACGGCUGGCUGAUAACGCAUUAACGUGCUUGUUUGCUUAAGUGCAGGUGUGUCCGAGUCAUCCAAACGCUGCAAUCUUGCUGCGAGCAAUGCGAAUACAAGUCAACACAUUGUGCAUCAGUAUCUGGCCUUCUAAAGCAAAUAAACAAGUAAAUAUUUGGGACAUUCAGGCUGAAGGCAGGAAUUUUCGUCUCUUGUGAAGUCUUUAGGAUAAAAAAGAAGUCAAGUUCCUGCAAGUUACUAGGACUUGAAUGAUUUAACAUUUUUUUAUAGCAAUUUAAAACUUCGUCUCCCAAAAUGUAAGAGUACUGAGUACCUUAACAAGAUCAUAGAGAAGGAAAUAUCAAUUUUCGCUCUUUUUAUAAGUCAGUUCUUACUUCAAGUAAAGAGAACUUUUGUUAAAAAUAAAAAAAAAAUAAAUAAAUGUACGCUUAUUUGCUUCGCUGACAUUGAAUGCUAGUGGUUCACUAUCCAGAGUGGAACACAAAAUUGUUUUUUAUGCCUUCUCGAAGAUGAAUCGAGUCUAGUCAAACUUUUUUGGUUCGUCUCA